AUCGGGAUUACUGGGCGUAAAGCGCACGUAGGUGGCUUGUUAAGUCAGAUGUGAAAUCCCCGGGCUUAACCUGGGAACUGCAUCUGAAACUGGCAGGCUAGAGUCUCGUAGAGGGAAGUAGAAUUCCAGGUGUAGCGGUGAAAUGCGUAGAGAUCUGGAGGAAUACCGAUGGCGAAGGCAGCUUCCUGGACGAAUACUGACACUGAGGUUCGAAAGCGUGGGUAGCAAACAGGAUUAGAUACCCUGGUAGUCCACGCCGUAAACGAUGUCUACUUAGUGGUUGGGCCCUUGAGGCUUAGCUUCCGGAGCUAACGCGUUAAGUAGACCGCCUGGGGAGUACGGCCGCAAGGUUAAAACUCAAAUGAAUUGACGGGGGCCCGCACAAGCGGUGGAGCAUGUGGUUUAAUUCGAUGCAACGCGAAGAACCUUACCUGGUCUUGACAUACACAGAACCUUGUAGAGAUGCGAGAGUGCCUUCGGGAAUUGUGAUACAGGUGCUGCAUGGCUGUCGUCAGCUCGUGUCGUGAGAUGUUGGGUUAAGUCCCGCAACGAGCGCAACCCUUUUCCUUUGUUACCAGCGGUCCGGCCGGGAACUCUAAGGAUACUGCCAGUGACAAACUGGAGGAAGGUGGGGACGACGUCAAGUCAUCAUGGCCCUUACGACCAGGGCUACACACGUGCUACAAUGGCGCAUACAAAGAGCAGCUACCUCGCGAGUGCAGCGAUCUCAUAAAGUGCGUCGUAGUCGGAUUGGAGUCUGCAACUCGACUCCAUGAAGUCGGAAUCGCUAGUAAUCGUGGAUCAGAAUGCCACGGUGAAUACGUUCCCGGGCCUUGUACACACCGCCCGUCACACCAUGGGAGUG
rnacentral:rRNA from 1 species